UACAGAGGUCUCAAGCGUUGUUCGGAAUUACUGGGCGUAAAGGGCUCGUAGGCGGCCAACUAAGUCAGACGUGAAAUCCCUCGGCUUAACCGGGGAACGGCGUCUGAUACUGGAUGGCUUGAGUUCGGGAGAGGGAUGCGGAAUUCCAGGUGUAGCGGUGAAAUGCGUAGAUAUCUGGAGGAACACCGGUGGCGAAGGCGGCAUCCUGGACCGAGACUGACGCUGAGGAGCGAAAGCCAGGGGAGCAAACGGG
rnacentral:rRNA from 1 species